rnacentral:rRNA from 1 species
GAUGAACGCUGGCGGCGUGCUUAACACAUGCAAGUCGAACGGUGAAGCAGGAGCUUGCUCCUGUGGAUCAGUGGCGAACGGGUGAGUAACACGUGAGCAAUCUGCCCUGGACUCUGGGAUAAGCGUUGGAAACGACGUCUAAUACCGGAUACGAGGCGUGGGGGCAUCCCCAACGCCUGGAAAGAACUUCGGUCCAGGAUGAGCUCGCGGCCUAUCAGGUAGUUGGUGCGGUAACGGCUCACCAAGCCUACGACGGGUAGCCGGCCUGCGAGGGUGACCGGCCACACUGGGACUGAGACACGGCCCAGACUCCUACGGGAGGCAGCAGUGGGGAAUAUUGCACAAUGGGCGCAAGCCUGAUGCAGCAACGCCGCGUGAGGGACGACGGCCUUCGGGUUGUAAACCUCUUUUAGCAGGGAAGAAGCGAAAGUGACGGUACCUGCAGAAAAAGCACCGGCUAACUACGUGCCAGCCGCCGCAGUAAUAC